GGCAAGGUGGCCGAGCGGUCCAAGGCGCCACGUUAAGGACAUCAUCCUUAAUCCCACUCGACGAGUUCCGUGGUCUCGAAAGGGGCGUGAGUUCGAAUCUCACCCUUGUCA